GGAGUGUUGUGUUUGGUUCUUGUCUGUACUCUGAAAGCUGCUGUAUGAGAAAACCCAGGAAUCUCCCAAGAUAAAGAGGAAUAUAAAGAUCACUCUUCAUAUUCUAGUCUGGGCUGGAAGCACUUUUUAAGGUUUGGUAAAACUGAAACCCCUACCAAGUCCAAUGCUGGAAAUGGAGGAAAAAAGGAACUGAAGACGUCUCGGUGAUCUGGAUCUUGCAGCUUG
rnacentral:lncRNA from 1 species